AUUUAAAUAUUUAAGUUCUAUAACAAAAAAAAUAUCUACAGCUUUGUUUUCAGAUUGGAAACUUUGUGGUCAUCUUUAGAAAUGAUCGUCGAUGGGGUUGAUGGGGCAAGCCCAUCGAAAUCUCGCGCACAGGAAACCGCGCCGCCCAUGCCUGCUGCAUCUCUCUUUCCUCAAAGUGUUGUGGUGCCACCACCUGCCCACUACGUUGAAUGUGGUGCGAGCAGUGGAGCAAGCACACCAAAGACCACGCGGCCUGUAAAUCGCGAUCGCCACUGGCCGAAUAUUAGGACACCCCUCUGUGAUGAUGAUA